rnacentral:tRNA from 1 species
GCCUCUAUAGUAUAACUAAUUACUCUGGUCUUGUAAACCAGCAAUGAGAAGUCCAUUCUCUAAAGGCA